rnacentral:rRNA from 1 species
CUUUUCUUGUUAGUUUUUGAAGUAUGGCCUGCCCACUGACUUAGGAGUUGAAGGGCCGCGGUAUUUUGACCGUGCAAAGGUAGCAUAAUCAUUAGUUCUUUAAUUGUGAUCUGGUAUGAAUGGCUUGACGAGACAUGGGCUGUCUUGAUGGAAUUGUUUGUUGAAUUUGGUUUUUGAGUUAAAAUUCUUAGAUGUUUUUAUGGGACGAGAAGACCCUAUAGAGUUUAACAUUUUGCUUAUUGGUGAGGAUUAGGUUUGUUGUAAUGUUUUAGUAGGCUAAUUGUUUUGUUGGGGUGAUGGGAGGAAUUUUUGAAACUCUUCUUUAUUUAAUAUAUUUAUCUAUAUUUUUUUGAUCCAUUAAUUUUGAUUAUAAGAUUAAAUUACC